AUUUGUGUGGAUAUAUGUACAGUUAAGUUCAUCAGUAACAAUAUCUUUUGAAUGGUUGAAAUUUUAAGUGCACAAGAAUUGUGCUAAGCUUUUAGGAGGAACAAACAUGCAAAACGGUAAAGUAAAAUGGUUUAAUGCAGAAAAAGGAUUCGGUUUCAUCGAAAUCGAAGGUGCUGAAGACGUAUUCGUACACUUCUCAGCAAUCAAUGACGAAGGUUUCAAAACACUUGAAGAAGGCCAAGACGUUUCUUUCGAAAUCGUUGAAGGAAAUCGCGGACCUCAAGCUGCUAACGUAAACAAACUCUAAUAUAUAAAUGAGCUAAAGAAGCAGAUGAAUUCAUCUGCUUCUUUUU
rnacentral:sRNA from 1 species